UUAUAGCUUGUCAUUGAAUGCAGAUAUGGACCAUCAGUUAUUAUAGCUUGUCAUUGAAUAAGCUGUAAUAACUGAUGGUCCAUAUCUGUAUUCAUUGACAAGCUGAUGGUCCAUAUCUGCAUUCAAUGACAAGCUGU
rnacentral:pre_miRNA from 1 species